rnacentral:rRNA from 1 species
GACGAACGCUGGCGGCGUGCUUAACACAUGCAAGUCGAACGAUGAAGAAAAGAAUCGAAGCUUCGGCAGAAAUUCAUUUCGGAUUAGUGGCAGACGGGUGAGUAACGCGUGAGCAACCUACCUCUUACAAAGGGAUAGCCUCGGGAAACCGGGAUUAAUACCAUAUAACAUUGUGACGAAGCAUUUCGAUGCAAUCAAAGCUACGGCGGUAAGAGAUGGGCUCGCGUCCCAUUAACCGGAUGGCGAGGUAACGGCUCACCAUAGGGACGAUGGGUAACCGGCCUGAGAGGGUGAGCGGUCACACUGAAACUGAGACACGGUCCAGACUCCUACGGGAGGCAGCAGUGGGGAAUAUUGCACAAUGGAGGGAGCUCUGAUGCAGCGACGCCGCGUGAGUGAUGAAGGAAUUCGUUUCGUAAAACUCUGUUCUAUGGGAAGAAAAGGACUGUACCAUAGGAGAAAGCUCCGGCUAAAUACGUG